UGCUAAAGGGACUUGUUCACAAAGUUUGGCAUGUUUUGAAGGUAGUCAUGAAAUGCUUUUAAUUGAUAAAUGUAAACAUCGGAACUAAAUAGUUCCAGUCCAGUAUAAACCAAUGAUAAAAUUAAAGAAAGAAAAAAAUGUAAUCCACACCAGGGCUUGAACCACUGACACCUGGAGUAAAAGUCUAGCACCAACCACUUGGCUGUCCGUACUGAUAUAGUACGCUCAGGUGUACUAUUUAUACUUUAUGUAAGCAAUCUUUGUAAUGUAACAAAUUAUAGCUCCAAUAUAAAAACAAGAAUAAAAGUAAAAAGAAAACAAACAGAAAUAAAAGUUUAUCACACCGGGGCUCGAACCACUGACCCAUGUAGUAAAAGCCAAGCGCCGAAACCGCUCAGCAAUCCGUCUUCACAUGUGGGUUUGUGUAAUUCAGAGUUCAUGUUCUGGUCGUCAUUGAGUCUUUACAACUACAUUAUGUGCGGACCUGACAAACCGUCUUCACAUGGGUUGACAUUUAUUUUAUACUUUGUAAAACCAUCUGCGUGUUGUUACAAAAUAUAACGAUGACACAAGAAAUCAAAAAUUUAAAAUUGUUUCGCGUAUGAGACGCUUUAUAAUUUUAUCAAUUUCUAACGAUGAUUUUUAGUAAACGAAAGUGUAUUUUCAGUAAAAGUCUGCGGCAUUAGUGUUAUUUCGCACACUGAUGUAUAUUGUUCAUUUAUUUCUUAAAUAUGUGACAAAAAGUUGAAACAUUCUCAUUUUGAUAGAGUGUGAACAAGUCCCUUUAACAUUGACAGCAAAUGUUUUGUUUUGGAAGUUAAAUUAAUACUGGCUAAAUUUGCAGGUGUGUUAUUGUUUUAAAUUGAGAUGGUGAACAGAUACUUCAUGAAUUAUAUGAAUCACCAGGGAAAGGACCCAACUACUUGCACAGAUGCAUCCUGGCGGGUGAAAGAAGGGAUGAUCACUUUGGCAACAGAUUGUUCAACUGCUUAAAUGUUGAUGUGGACUCAGUCAAAGAAUUUGCUGUAACUGUGUAUGUCUCUUCACUAUGUGGACAUAAAGUGCUACAGCUGGUUGGAGAUUAAGAUCACAAUGUACUGUUUUAAUGGAGAACAUCUGUGAAUAUUUAUUCUAACAAUGGAAAUUCAAACCUGAAUUAUUAUAAUUAGAAAACAUUUUCAUGUACAUGCUGGAAUUUUAUUUGAAGUGUAAAACUAAAAUAAUUUAGAAUUAUUUUUAAACACAAACACAGUUUUAUUAUAGAAAUAAUUGUAUAAACUUAAGAGAAAUCAGUGUUUAAGUGAUGCAUUUUAUUUAGUGUUUGACCUAUUUAACACCUUAACUAUGUUUUUUUAUGUUGAAUGUAAUGGUAAUAAAAAAAAACAUAAGCUGACAUCCAAAGGGUUUUAACCUUAAAGGGAAUUGUUCACAGAUUCAGGCAUUUUUUUUAAGUAUGUCAGUAGAAGCCUUAAAUUGCUAGAUUUUAACCUCAAAAUAGAAUUUUAGAAGAGAUAAAAACACCAGAAAAAUAUUGGUAUCCAUGGGGGUCCUUAAAUUAUUUAACCUAUAACACUCGGCCAUCUUGAAUUUUAUAUUUAAGCAUUCAUUUUAUACUUGAUAUAUGUGACCCAUGUGAAAUAACAAAAUAUAACAGAAAAAACAGAAUCAUUAAAAAUUAUCCAAUCAUCACCCUGUUUAAUUGUAUCCAUUACACAUGAUGAAUACUCAUAAAAAAGCUGUAUUUUCAGUUUGAGUCUACAUCAUUAGUGGCAUUUUGCUCCCUGAUUUACAGUACAUGUAUUCUUUUUUAUUUUGUAUCUGUUCCUUAAAUUUGGAAAAUGGUCAGUUUUACUAUCUGUGCACAAUUCCUUUUGAUCUUUAUUCUUAGUUUUGUGAUCAAUGGAAUGCCUAAUACCAUUUCAAUAGUAAAUGAGAUUACGGGUAAGUACUUGUUAAACAAUAAGGCCGUAAAACGUGCAAAGCCCUUCUUUAUUGUAUCUCAAAUUAUGAAAAGCAAUUCUGAGAUUUUUAUGUUUUCUAACAUUUAAUUACUUUUUUGAGUUACUUAUUAUAAGUAAAUGUAAUUUUUGUAAGAUUAAA